CAUCACUUCCGGAUCUUGGUGACAGGGCUCAAGGGACACCCAGGCUGGUUAUAGAAUUGGGGUUAUCAAAGGUUUGCAUGUAUUUUUCAGCUUUGUAUAACAGGGAAGAGAAGGCCUAGUCCAGUCAGAUGCAGGCUCCACAGCCAUUGAUCCAAUUUUCAUGAUUUCUCAUUAAUUUGGUUUGGUCAGCUCUGUAGGUUUCUCCAUCAUGAUCCUGAUGCACUUGCUCAUAGAAUCUCUCUUCUCUCUCUCCCCGACUGGACUCCUGGAGCUCUGCUUUGGAGUGUUGUAUUUGGUUUUUGGCUGUGGAUCUUUGCAUCUGCCUCCAUUGGUCACUGGAGAAAAGGAUGAGUUAUCUUACAUUGGCAGUAUGCAGAUCAAUGUGCCACAACUGGAAUCUGAUUGGCCAUGAAGUCAAUAUUUCAGAGAGAGGAGUUUUUCACUAAAGGUUCUGAAACCUGGUGUGAACCAACUCCUUGGAGAAUCUUAAACCAGAAGUAAACAUCCAGGUAUGGGGAAAGAUUCAUGUUCCUCUUGCUGGUCACUUGAAAUUAUAA